rnacentral:rRNA from 1 species
GUUGGCUUCAAGGCGACGACGGGUAGCCGGCCUGAGAGGGCGACCGGCCCACUGGGACUGAGACACGGCCCAGACUCCUACGGGAGGCAGCAGUGGGGAAUAUUGCGCAAUGGGCGGAAGCCUGACGCAGCGACGCCGCGUGAGGGAUGAAGGCCUUCGGGUUGUAAACCUCUUUCAGCAGGGACGAAGCGUGAGUGACGGUACCGGUAGAAGAAGCACCGGCCAACUACGUGCCAGCAGCCGCGGUAAUACGUAGGGUGCGAGCGUUGUCCGGAAUUAUUGGGCGUAAAGAGCUCGUAGGCGGUGUGUCGCGUCGGUCGUGAAAACUUGGGGCUUAACUCCGAGCUUGCGGUCGAUACGGGCAUCACUGGAGUUCGGCAGGGGAGACUGGAAUUCCUGGUGUAGCGGUGAAAUGCGCAGAUAUCAGGAGGAACACCGGUGGCGAAGGCGGGUCUCUGGGCCGAUACUGACGCUGAGGAGCGAAAGCGUGGGGAGCGAACAGGAUUAGAUACCCUGGUAGUCCACGCCGUAAACGGUGGGCGCUAGGUG